rnacentral:rRNA from 1 species
UGGGGAAUAUUGCACAAUGGGCGCAAGCCUGAUGCAGCCAUGCCGCGUGUAUGAAGAAGGCCUUCGGGUUGUAAAGUACUUUCAGCGGGGAGGAAGGGAGUAAAGUUAAUACCUUUGCUCAUUGACGUUACCCGCAGAAGAAGCACCGGCUAACUCCGUGCCAGCAGCCGCGGUAAUACGGAGGGUGCAAGCGUUAAUCGGAAUUACUGGGCGUAAAGCGCACGCAGGCGGUUUGUUAAGUCAGAUGUGAAAUCCCCGGGCUCAACCUGGGAACUGCAGCUGAUACUGGAAAGCUUGAGUCUCGUAGAGGGGGGUAGAAUUCCAGGUGUAGCGGUGAAAUGCGUAGAGAUCUGGAGGAAUACCGGUGGCGAAGGCGGCCCCCUGGACGAAGACUGACGCUCAGGUGCGAAAGCGUGGGGAGCAAACAGG